AUCCAGCUGACGAGUCCAAAAAAUAGGACGAAACAAGCAUCCUGGAU
rnacentral:hammerhead_ribozyme from 1 species